ACUCCUUUCCUUUUCUUUUGGUCGUUAAUGUUGGUGCAAAAAAAAAAAAGGGGGGGGGGGGGGGGGGAGCGGGGGGGGGUUUCUGUGGGGGGGGGGGGGUGGGGGGGGGGGGGGGGGGGGGGGGGGAGUGUGUGUGUGUGUGUGUGUGUGUGUGUGUGUGUGUGUGUGUGUGUGUGUGUGUAUGUGAGGGAAGGGGGGGGGACACACAAGACUGAGAAGAAUAAAAAAAGAGGUGCCUGACUUCAGUAGUCAAACACCUUCCCUGCCUCACAUCCGUUUGUGGUUUGUAAAGAGAGAGAGGAGAGGAAAAAAAAAAAAAUCUCUUCCAAAAAAGCACCGGUCUGCAGAUGUCUGCGAGAGAACCCACGAACCCUCCUUCUUCUACGGCAGGGCAGAUGUCUUUUGCUGCAGAUUUUUUUUGUUUUCGUUUAUAUUCACAAGGUUUCUGUGAAGAGAGGGAUGUUUCUUAAAUCUCCAGGCAAGAUGAGUGCUGCAUACCUUGACUCCAGCCAUGACAACACAAUUCCCAUGAAGCAGCCCUUGAAAAUCACUCUGGAGCUCACACAGCAGGAGACUGAAGAGCAUAAACCCAAUGCAAGCCCAAGCUUCCUUACACAUAAUUCCUUAGCUCUGUGGGGCUGCAUGCCCGUCUUUGGCCCACCCUGGUGUACCCUUGUUACAGGAGUGUGGCAAAAAUGGGGGUUCUGAAUUGAUCCAGGUCUGUUCUGGGCCUCUGCAAGUGUCUGAAGGAACUGUGUCUAUCUGGAAAAAAGAUUGAGCUUGUAAUAUGCAUAGAGGACAUCUUCAAAUCUAAACCAUUUGAAAAACCAAAAAAGGAAGUAGCACCUACUUCUUUCCAUGCCGUACUGAUGUAGCUGUACUCAACACCCAAUGCAGUGAGGAGUGGAUGUGCUAUUCAGCAGUCCUCCUCAUCAAGGACUUAGCAAUACUCAGUUUUCUUUAUACACACUGACACAUUUAGGCCUCCAUGGAGCUGUAACAUUUCAUUUUACCUCAGUGACGCUUCCAAUGUUCUGAAAGUGGAGUUUCAAAUGCAAGUUUUCACCCAGAAACUGAUUACCCAAAAGAUUUAAGUACAACAGAACAAAACAUAAUACCAUAUCUUUGCAUUUGCUUCUUUUUACCUCUUACAUGAAAGGUAUUUACUGACACGUCUCUCCCUUCUUGGUAAGUUUGGUGUGCACCUAAUAAUAAUCUCCAGAUAAGUGCAGUUGUGAAGGUAUCACAACCUUAUUGUUGCUAAAUGUUUUAUAGAUAUUGUAAUGAGUAAUAAAGUAAAAUUUAUUUUAAUUAAAUGCUUCCA
rnacentral:lncRNA from 1 species